CUUGUACUGGUUUCCCUUCCAGAUCAACAGUCUGCCGACGAUGUUGGAGAUUGUCUGCCUCAGCCUAGAUUGGAUCAGCCUCAUGGAACACCUCCCAUUGCUCGACCGAAGUAGCUGGCACUGCUGUUCCGUAGGUGACUGGAGUUUCUGCCUGGUAAUAGUGGACGGCUGCUCGCGGUGGUCGUGGUGGGCCGGGCCGGAUCCAGGUAAUUCGAUCUCGUAGUUGCGGACAGUCC